GGUUGUGGCCCUGACCACUUCCUCCUCAGAGGUCAUGGAGCAGAGGGCACCUGCAGAGUGUGUGUGUGGGUGGUGGCUGUUGGGGGAGUUGGGAGGGGGACAUAAGAAUUUUCCCUUCCAAAAGAGGGGUGGGGAACAUAGGGCUGGGGUGGGGUAUCCGGACUAUACUCUGCAAGAGGGAUGACAGCUUCCUGAGUCAACGGAAACUUGGGAGCAAGAAAGCUGCAGAGGAGGCUGCCGGCAGUACAGGAUGCAGGGAGAACCCAGGCCUGGGGUUAAGGCCAGGAGACUCAAUUCCAACUUUACUGUGUGAGUUUAGCAGGACUGUCAUGGGUAGAAGCUGCUGGUGUGUCAUCUACAGCCUUGGAGGACAGGAUUGUGGCUAAACACGAGGAGGUUCCAGAAGUUUCAGUUCAGUAUGAAGAAAAAUUUCAGAACCAUCACAAACAGAAUUACCCAUGCCUGCACCAGCCUCUUCCAUAUCAUUCACGCCUGUCACCUGGCUUGCUACAUGGACGUGCUCAUGAAGGGCUGCUGAAUGACUGACCCACCGAGUACCUGUCACCUGAGGCCCAGCUUUGGCAGUGGUGCUGAGCCCCUUCUCAGAGGCCCUGCUUGGAACUAUGGAGCCAUAGCCACAGCCUUUGGGACUGGAGAGUUCAAACAUCAUUCCUGGUACUCUGCAGAGUCACACAAAGGGAGUCAGCCGCGAGGCCUUAACCUCCUAUCUGUAUAGCGGAUGCAUCAGCCCAGGUGGUACCUAAAGGGCCUUUCAAACUCAGACAGGCUGUGCCAGCUUUACUUGCCCUUCAGAGCUUUGGCUGUGCCAGGGACAGGCAGGAACAGCUGGUAAGUCUCUCAGAAGAAGCAAGAGCCAAAGAAGCUGUGCUUACUGUGACCUCCUCUUCCAGCCUGUGGAAGGGUCAAGCUCUUCCCUGCUUCCUCUACCUCUGGGUAGACGGAAUUCACCCUUGGUCCACUUUGCAAGCUACAAGGUUGACACAGGUGUAGAGAACACAGACUCUCAGAUGCUUAGGGAUCAUCCUGCUCAUCACUUCCCAUAUAGGGAGAAACUGAGACCCAGGGAGCCACAAGGGCUUGCUUGGGGUCACCCAGUAUGUUUGUGGCACCACUAGGACUUACACCCAGGACUAAUGUCUGCCUACCACUUGCUCAGUUACAAGUCUCAGCCGAGGCUCAGGUCUCUCCACCUUGUUAUCCGUCAGCCAGCCCCUUCCUUCUACUGAUAGAGCCAAGCCUCAGUUUCCCUGUUGGAGUGAGGAAAGACAUGAGGGUUUCUAGGUCAGGGGUUGGUGAGGAUUUUUGAUCUGGUAAUAAAGGGAGAGCAAGGAAAGCCAGGAGGUAUCAGACAGAGCAGGGAGUAGAAUCCUCCAGGCUAGGACAGUACUGUUAGGCAGAAAAACCUGUACUCAGGGCACAAGCAAAGCAGGAGCAGAGGGAGGACUAAAGUUCAUUACAAAACUAUUAAAUAUUGUCACAGUUUGGGACCUCUCUGGGUCUCAAGGGGGAAUGAUAAUAAUGUUUAUGGGAUCAUCUAAUCCCACCUGGCUAGGGGGCAGGCAGUGGUAGGAAAGGGGGCCAGAAUUUGAGGGUCCUCCUUCCCCUCUGCUUCACAGUGUCCCCCGAGAAGACUAUCCUUCUAGCUCCAGGUUCCGACCUUCUGGGCUCGGCAGACCCCAAGGGGCAGCUGGUCUCACUACAAGAAACCUGAGAAUUGUCCCCUGGGCCCUAACCCAGCUCCAAGGCCCCUUGGGGGAAGGACAGGAAGGGAGGAGAGGGCCACAGAAGGCAGUAGAUCUCCUCCCUCUUUGGCCCCUCCCAGUUACCCCAAGGGCAGCCCACACUCACCAGCUCUGGGGCCUGCAAGAGCCCUAAGACUAGCGCCUCAAACUUUAAAGCGUCAUCACCUGGGCAUAUUGUUAAAACGCAGCUUCUCUCUUGGCAAGACUGGGCCAGAGCCUGAGAUUCUGCAUUUCUAACAGGUCCCGAGUGAUGCCGAUACUGCGAGUCUGUGGCACACUCUUCGAGCAGCCCUGAGAUUAUCAGCCUCUAACGCCGCGGGGAGGAAGCCGAGGGCCCAGAGAGGUCAAGUCACUUGUCCAUGGCCACACAGCGAACAGCCCCAGACCGAAAGCAGAGGGCACCUGCCACAGACACACGACAUCUCCCCACCCGAGGCAGCGGGAAUCAGCUGCAGUUGCCUGGCCCGGGUGCCGUGUUUGUAAACUCGGCUGCUUGGUGCGGCUCCGGUCGGGGUAAAGGGCGCCUCCCAGCAGAGCCUCCCUCGUCUCUGAGCCGGCCUCUCCAGGUUCUCAGUCCGGUACCCUGGGCAGACCAGAGAGAACCUGGGGCGCCGAGUCCCCUAGGCAGAGCGAUUCCGCACUCCCCUCUCCUCGGAAAGCAAACUUCUCCGCCGGCGCCCUUUACCUUU